AUUUUCCGCUGAAUAAUUAAUUACUUACUCAAACAAAUUGUUGAUUUCUCGAUGGCCUCCCUCAGAGCAAUGACCGAUGGUUAGUUUUUGUGUGUGCGAUGUGGGUUCUGUCCGUCGCCGGCGUCGCCCACCUCUUCGGCGGUCCUAUGUCGCCGGCGAUCAAGACUGCCAUCAGAUAUUGCUGUUCUCAGCGUCGCUAAGAACCUAGGCGACGCCAUCUGUUUCGUUUCCGGUGCCAUGCCGUAGGUCUCGCCGUCGUGGGUUGUUCUCCUUGUCGGUACGAGUCGUAACCUUUUCGGUUAUGGCGUUAUCUGGCACGUUGUCAUUGGUCUGUUGCCGAGGUUUCCGCUCGGGAUGGUAAGAUCUCAGUACCCGACUCACUGAUUUGAACAUGGGUUUGAGCUUUUCUCAUUCUAGGGUUUUGUAAGAUUCGAGAAAUUCUUAUGGUUCUAUGUGUUUAGAUGUUGAAACUAAUGAAAAGGGUUGUGAUGAUUUUGUUCCAAUUAUAGUUAAUGUAAUAAGAUACUGGAUAGAUGUGUUACAAGAUACACUGUCGAUUGGUGAAUUGUAGAGUAGAAGAAGGAUUCAUGGUGUUUUUUUAGAUUGGAUCUUGUACCUGGAUUUGAUCAACCUUAUGACAGAGUAUUUGAUUGAGUAUAGUAUAGCUCGGAUCUUACGAGAUCAUUUGCUGAAACUUCAUCUAAGAUAGAUUUGGUGUCUGUACACGAAUAAAGAUUCUGUCCGAAAUGUGAUGUCCAAACAAUGUGAUAAAACAUUGUACUAGUUUGGUUCUGAAGCUUUUGCCUAAAGUUCAAUAGAGUUUGGAAUAAGAAAAAAAAUGCUCGGGAUGUUAGAACAAGGAUUUGCAGGUGUUUUAUGGGUUAAGACUACGUCUACGUUAAGGUAAAGGCAUGUACAUGUUGUACGUAGAUUUGCUUGCCAUGUAUAGUCUUGAUGUUAUUCCUGAAUUUGUUGACCUUUACUUGGGGAAAUAUUUAAGCACAUUCACAAAUAUAGGUUACUGUCGCAAAUGGAAUUUGAGUGUUGUAUUAUACAUGCUUUUAUACAUCUCCUGCGUGGAAGCUUUUUGCUAACAGUUUUAUGUAAAGUUUGGAGUAAGAUAGGAUGCUUCAAUACUUAUGAGUGUAAGUAUUUUAUGUGAUUUCUUUAUUGCGUUAAUAUCUAAUACUUGUGUUAUUAAUUUGCUAGCUGUGUACAGUGUAUGUUACAUGUGGAUUUGAUGAGCUUAAUUGAAGGAACAUGUGAAUGCGGUUUAUUCAUUGUCACGUUAUAAUACAGAUUUUAAACUUAAGGAAAGUUUGGAAUAAGAGAAAGAUGCUUGGCAUAUUGGAAUGAGGUUAAGGAAAGUUUACUAACUAAUUUUCUCGAUUUGGUGAAUUUGUCCGAAGUUUGACGCAUGAGUUAUACAUUAAUUUUGUAGCCAGGUAUGGUAAGGGUGUUUUACGCUAGUUGGUUCGAUUUCCGUUAAGAAACAGUUAAGAAUUUACAUCAAAGAGAUUUACUGUCACAAGUGUGAAACGGGUUGAAUAAGAUAUAGAUCUAUGUAAUUCCUGUUCUUAGGUGUCUGCUAAACAAAUGGCUAUACAUGGAUGCUCUUGCUGCAAAUUUCACUGGAUUCUUGGGCAAGAGCUGCAGGAUCACGCUUGUAUGUGUGCAUUGCUUUCGUUCCAUAUUGUAGUUGUGAUAAUGCAUCGCAUUCUUGUACGUUCGUAAAACUCUCCUACGUAAGUUCAAGAAAGAAACAUGCAGCAUGGAUACUAUAUCCGGCUAACGGAUCAGCGUACAACACAUGCAUUAGGUCUUAACUUAGCCAAGCAAAUCAUGUUCAAUACUUACAGAUAUUUGUUUUAAUGUCAAAACAUUCUCUUUUACUCCUAAGUUUACUGUAUUGUUAGGCAGAAACUUCAGAUCUGGACUUAGAUAACGAUAUCGCAUGUAUUCCAUAUCGUACGUGACCAUAAUCUGCAUUUACGUAAGUUGUUUCAGAUAAGUUUUAAGUUAGAGAAGAAUGCUGGGGACACUAUAACGACCAUGGGUAUGUAUUGAUGUGAUUUGCUUGAACAAAUGAAAUCCCUGGGUACAUCUGAUGCAUAUAUGUUGAUUUGGUGAUUGAGUUUAGUAUGAACGCUAUCUGUUAAUCUGCUGAACGUAGUUUACUAUAUCACUAGUCGAAUAAUUGUUGUGGUGUCUUCAAACAAUUAUAUUUCUGGAACUUUUUCCUGACGAUUCAGUAAAAUUGGUAGACAAAGGGGUGCUUGUGAUUUAGGAGAAUUACGUAAAAGACGAGGCUUGAAAUUACAUUCAUGUAAGGUUUUGUUACGGCUUGCGGAGUCACAACGGGUUUCUAUUAUUGGAGAAUAGUUUCCAUCCUCAUAUAUAUGUAAGUAUUUGCUCAACAGUGUUUGUUUCCUCUACCUUUAUGUGUUUCAGCAGAUGUGGUUUUUUUGGCCCUAUUUCAUGGUCUACAAAAGCUAAACGGUUUUUAUCUUGCAGUUAUUCAUUGCCAUUUUUUCUGGAAACAAAUGGUAAAACCUACUAGAGUACGUCGGCAUUUGUCUCAUGCAUCGAGAACCAUUUAGAGAGCCGAGGCCCAGUUGUAGGGAUCUCCUUAGAGGGUUUUCAGGCUUGAGGCGGCGAUCUUGACUCAGUGUAUUUAUACCUGAUUCCUUUUGUAGGAAACCAAGAAAAUGCUACCUUAGUGGAUGUUUGUGAAGGAAACUCCAAUGCGGAUGGAAGGAACCAAACACAGGAAAUAUCCAAUUCUUCCUCAGGAGCUAAACAAUGAGAGAGGAGAGAGAACAAAACAAAAACCCUAAUCUCCUCUUCCACAUUAUUACUGCCAUUGAUGCUCUUCACUGACUUGUUGAUUAUUCCACUUCCUCCGCACCAGGAAACCUUGGCCAUUUGCCAUGCCGCUCUUGCAAAGGUUGAUGGCCUUUGGACUUUCCAUGUUCUACUUCUUGACCAUUCUAAACAGACACGGCCUCAGUCUCUGACCUAUUCUGGGUCUGAACAAGUUCGGUUCUUUGUAAAAUUUCCUUGUAUGUACACACACAAAUAUACGUAUAUACACGCAUAUGUACAUGCACA